UCUGCCGAGUUCGCCGGCGCGACGAGCCUUCCGGUGUCC
rnacentral:sRNA from 1 species